rnacentral:rRNA from 1 species
CGCUUGAAAGGGCGGCUAAUACGGGAUGUUCUGGCUGCCUCGCAUGGGGUGGUUUGGAAAGAUUCGGCCUGGUUUUGGUUGUUUUGGUGGGGGAUGGGCUCGCGGCUUAUCAGCUUGUUGGUGGGGUGAUGGCCUACCAAGGCGGUGACGGGUAGCCGGCCUGAGAGGGUGGACGGUCACACUGGGACUGAGACACGGCCAGACUCCUGCGGGAGGUAGCAGUGGGGGAUUUUGCACAAUUGGCACAAGCCUGAUGCAGCGACGCCGCGUGAAGGAUGGAGGC